rnacentral:rRNA from 1 species
AUUGAACGCUGGCGGCAUGCCUAACACAUGCAAGUCGAGCGGACGAAGGGAGAUUUCUCCUGGCUUCAGCUGCCGACGGGUGGGUGAUUACUAGGAAUCUGCCUUGUAUUUGGGGAUAACGUCCGUUAACGGGCGCGAAUACCGUAUACGUUCAGAUAGAGAAAGGGGUGGAUCUUCGGAGCUCACGCGAUCAGAUGAUCCUAGGACGUAUUAGCUAGUUGGUUGGGUAAAGGCUUACCAAGGCGACGAUCCGUAGCCGGUCUGAGAGGCUGAUCAGCCACACUGGAACUGAGACACGGUCCAGACUCCUACGGGAGGCAGCAGUAGGGAAUCUUGGGCAAUGGGCGAAAGCUUGACGGAGCAACGCCGCGUGAGUGAAGAAGGUCUUCGGAUCGUAAAACUCUGUUAGUAGGGAAGAACAAAUGUAAGAGAAUCUAUGGACGUCUUGACGGUACCUAAAGAAAAAGCAACGGCUAACUUCGUG